rnacentral:tRNA from 1 species
GGGGAAGUGGCUGAGUGGCUGAAGGCACUGGUUUGCUAAAUCAGGGUGCGCGUACGUGCACCAUGGGUUCGAAUCCCGUCUUUCCCG